ACGAACGCUGGCGGCGUGGAUAAGACAUGCAAGUCGAACGAGAGAAUUGCUAGCUUGCUAAUAAUUCUCUAGUGGCGCACGGGUGAGUAACACGUGAGUAACCUGCCCCCGAGAGCGGGAUAGCCCUGGGAAACUGGGAUUAAUACCGCAUAGUAUCGAAAGAUUAAAGCAGCAAUGCGCUUGGGGAUGGGCUCGCGGCCUAUUAGUUAGUUGGUGAGGUAACGGCUCACCAAGGCGAUGACGGGUAGCCGGUCUGAGAGGAUGUCCGGCCACACUGGAACUGAGACACGGUCCAGACACCUACGGGUGGCAGCAGUCGAGAAUCAUUCACAAUGGGGGAAACCCUGAUGGUGUGACGCCGCGUGGGGGAAUGAAGGUCUUCGGAUUGUAAACCCCUGUCAUGUGGGAGCAAAUUAAAAAGAUAGUACCACAAGAGGAAGAGACGGCUAACUCUGUGCCAGCAGCCGCGGUAAUACAGAGGUCUCAAGCGUUGUUCGGAAUCACUGGGCGUAAAGCGUGCGUAGGCUGUUUCGUAAGUCGUGUGUGAAAGGCGCGGGCUCAACCCGCGGACGGCACAUGAUACUGCGAGACUAGAGUAAUGGAGGGGGAACCGGAAUUCUCGGUGUAGCAGUGAAAUGCGUAGAUAUCGAGAGGAACACUCGUGGCGAAGGCGGGUUCCUGGACAUUAACUGACGCUGAGGCACGAAGGCCAGGGGAGCGAAAGGGAUUAGAUACCCCUGUAGUCCUGGCGGUAAACGGUGCACGCUUGGUGUGCGGGGAAUCGACCCCCUGCGUGCCGGAGCUAACGCGUUAAGCGUGCCGCCUGGGGAGUACGGUCGCAAGAUUAAAACUCAAAGAAAUUGACGGGGACCCGCACAAGCGGUGGAGUAUGUGGCUUAAUUCGAUGCAACGCGAAGAACCUUACCUGGGCUUGACAUGUAAUGAACAACAUGUGAAAGCAUGCGACUCUUCGGAGGCGUUACACAGGUGCUGCAUGGCCGUCGUCAGCUCGUGUCGUGAGAUGUUUGGUUAAGUCCAGCAACGAGCGCAACCCCUGUUGCCAGUUACCAGCACGUGAAGGUGGGGACUCUGGCGAGACUGCCCAGAUCAACUGGGAGGAAGGUGGGGACGACGUCAGGUCAGUAUGGCCCUUAUGCCCAGGGCUGCACACGUACUACAAUGCCCAGUACAGAGGGGGCCGAAGCCGCGAGGCGGAGGAAAUCCUGAAAACUGGGCCCAGUUCGGACUGUAGGCUGCAACCCGCCUACACGAAGCCGGAAUCGCUAGUAAUGGCGCAUCAGCUACGGCGCCGUGAAUACGUUCCCGGGUCUUGUACACACCGCCCGUCACAUCAUGGAAGCCGGUCGCACCCGAAGUAUCUGAAGCCAACCGCAAGGAGGCAGGGUCCUAAGGUGAGACUGGUAACUGGGAUG
rnacentral:rRNA from 1 species